ensembl:lncRNA
UAAAAUGUACAACUGCUUUUUAUUAUCAUGAUUCAUUUUCACAAAGAAACCACGUGGGGCAGUUUCAUAAUCACAUUACAUAGAAACAGCAUUUCUGCUCAUCGAUAUUAACCAAAACACAGACAGCUCAUAUCUACAUUUAGAACAAUGCAACUGACGGAUACAGUACAAGAACAGAUGGAAAGCCAGGGGAUCAUUCCGUCAUGAGUUACCGUUUUCAUUACUGUGAAUUUAUAUAAAGUGUUUGUGUCUUUGUGUUUGUGUGUCCGCGUGUUUGUCUGUGUGUCUGUGUGUGUGCGUCUAUGAAGUAAAUUCUCCAGUAACCCCACUAAAUUCCAAGACUGCACCUUGCAACCGAUUCUUCCUUUAGAUCAUAAAAGGCUUGCCGUUUAAAAAAAAACAAAGAAAAGAAGGAAAAAAAAAAAAAAAGCCAACCUUCUGGGUCACAGAAAAUCACAAAAUCAGACGCGACCGCCGUGCCUCAGGGCACGGCCGGGUACGGCCCCUUCUCGCAUCCGUGGCUCUGCGACUAAUCUGAGUUAUCGAGUCCGUAACGCAAUCCCAUUCAGACCACCGGGGGGGGGCGGGGGGACGACUCAUCUUCUUUGCCGGCUGCUCGGAGAGCGACUGCUGCCGCUCCUGGGGGGAAGGGAGAGAGGAAAGCGUCAGUAAGGAGCCGUCGCCGACGCCAUCGUCUACCCGGAUCAAUACAGCGUGCCUUCAUUGGGAUCAGUGAGACGAGAUGUCUUACAAAUCGAUGUAUUUAUCUUCCACCUGUGCCCCGACCGAGAGAAGCCUUACCUAUACCCCAUUCCUUUCGUUUUAAUGCGUAUAAACUGGCAUCAGAGAUACAGGGCCGUCAGAAGCGGUUUCAAAGCCAAAUUAGUAAGAAAAUAAACAUUACUAAUAAAGUUUGUUCAUGAAGCAUUUCAGAACUGUCCGUCUACUGUUAGACUAACAGCCUCGGUCCGGUAGUGAGGGGGCGCUAUAGCCCAGCUCAGUUCCCGGGUCGCGUUUCCACCGCCGACUAAGUACCCUUAUUGUAGGCCGGAUGUCGAUCGCCGCGGCGGCUACGUAAACAUCGUGACAUCAUAGCAGCGCGACACAGUGUAGCCUGCUCAAUAAAAACACUAAAUAAAGUAAAAACAAUAAAAACAGCUCCUUCGAGCUCCCUCUGCACGUCUUCCUCCCCAAGAUGCGGAGGAACGUCUCCACCACCAAGUUUAAGUUUUGCGCGACAUGUCCAUUGUCCAGAAUAAUACCUCGCGGGUACGGUUUGUUUGUUUUUAUCCCCAUAUUGCCCGGAAGUCACGAUUCUGUCAACCAAUCAACGGAGGGCGUUUGUUGCUCGAACUUGCCGGCACCCUUUCAGGCGUCUCAAUACCCCAACGGAGGAGCUCUGCGAGACGAGUACGGCUCACGCCCACUUUUGGCGGUGGAAAUGCGAUCCGUGCCGCACCUUUGCGCACCGCACCCUCGGGUGGAAACGCGCCAUUAAGGUCUUAAAGUAGUGUGGAUGUGGGUGGCAGCCGGUCGAUAGGGGCCGUAAUCAACUGAAUACACAUUUCACGUCCUCAGGGACACAGGCGUUCAGCGGCUGAUUGGCGACGCACUUGCGAGUGGGCGGGGAAUGUGCAGCUCUGCGGUUCCUGGGCGGAGAGUAGCUGAGGGAGCGCGAGUCCCUCAGGGAGUCCUGGGGAACCCUCGCUGGUCUGGCCGGGCUGAGGAGGCAACGGACAGACACACAGACCAUCAAGGACUGGACCAGGCUUAAGAGGCACCACGGAUCAGGGACAGAUAUCCAACACACAUCUGGGGGCCCCGACUUGCCACAGCGCUAACAACGUAGCGAAAAUGCCCCUGAGCGACAAAG